rnacentral:lncRNA from 1 species
UACUAAAGACAAACAUUUAUUUAUUAAAAUAAAAUUGUCUAGUUCCUGAGGUCUUCAUGAAUGUAGAAAUAUUAUUUUUCAUUAAGUCGAUUUCUUAGCUCAUUAAGAUAUCUCUAAUUUGUUUCCCAGUUUCUGGAGUUAGCACAAUGCCUGACAUUAUAUUAAUGUGUGUUGAAAGAGUGAAUUAAAUUCCCAGAUUUUUUAUUUAUUGCUUUACCAUAAGUUGGAGUUGGAAAAAUAAAAUGUACUUUGAUUGACAUAAAUACUGCUUCUUGCUAUUGACAGGUUAACAGGCAUCCUCAGACCGUCAAAAUCAAAGAUUAGAAAUGGAAAUGGAACAUAAAGGAGAUGACAGAAAAUCUUCUAAAGCAAGCACAGGCACUAACGUUUAAAACUCUAAGAGAACAAAGUCACAGAACUCCUUAUUAGCCUCCUGAUUUAUAAGUCUAAUUUCCCUUUUUAUCAUAUCUACACACUUACAUAUAAACACACCAUUAGUCACAGGGUACUCGAAGGUGCUUUAGAAAGCCAGGUAGGGACUUGGGGACAGAAUUCCUUCAGUACGUUCUAAUGAACUAACAGCUGUGACACAUAGAUCAUCAGCCGCAGGAGCCUGAAGGCACCCUAGGGAUCAUCUUCUCAACCCCCUUAAUUAUAAAGAUCAGAAUAAAUGAGAUCGAAGAAAAGUUGUUGACUUAUCCAAGGUUACCCUGCUUGGUAGUGGCAGAACCAAGUUCAGAUCUCAGGUGGAUGAAGCCAUGCCAGUGUUGAUCUAUUUGACACAAAGCAGGGAAUGUUAACCUGGAAAAUGCUUUGCCUACUCAGUCAGCAAAUAUGACUUGGUCACCUACUCUGCAUAGGUCGGUGUGCUGGGCAUUGUGUGUACAGAAGUGGAUACUAGGAGGUCUCACUGUGAAGCUUGCUAGUUUCUGAGGAGUUAGACAUGUAACAAGAUGCAUUACUGUAGACUGUUUUAAGUGCUACAUCAGGGACAUGGAGAAAAUGCUGAGAAGUUGCCGAGGAGGGACUCACCAGUUUAUUGCAAUGCAUUUGUCAUGUCCCUCCAAGUCACUGAACAAUUUCUUUCCAGGGACUUGUGGUGAGGGGAUAUGUCACAUAACCUACUUUGGACUUGACAGAAAUGACCUGACUGUCCAAGGUGUUUCCAGUCCCAUUACAGUGCAUAAACCUGUGGUUUGUGAUUGCUUUUGAUUUGAUUAAGAAGCACUGAAAGAAUAAUUCCUAAAUAUAGGCUCUGAUAUGUAUACAGAGAUGAAGAAGUAUUUAGAUAUUUUUCAAAGAAAAAAAAAUAGGGAAAAUAUAUUUCAUUUUUAUAGGAUGUCAAGUGGAGGAUUCCCACAUGCCAUCUGGGAGUAGUUUUUCAAUUUGCCUUUCCAAGAUGCAAUGUCCUAUAUAUCUUUAGUUUGCCCACGAAUUUCUUUUUUUCCAGAGUACAGCUCACAUAAAAGAACUAUAGCCCUGCCCUUUGAGCCUCCUUUCUCCUGGUCUCCUUGUCCUCCCCAAUAACAAAUGCAGGCAUAUUGAACCAGAUAUAUUUCUCCUCAGUUUUCCUUAUCUGUUGCAAGAUGAUAUUACAAAACAUUCAUCCCUACACUUCCACUUCCCCUCCUUUUUAUUCUCCAGUUGUGGACAUUUUUGGAACCCUCUUUCAGAAUUCUUCAGCCCACUUCUGAUUUCAGCUACAGUUACGGUGAACAGUUCUAAGCACCUUGAUAGCAUCCCAUCUCAAACAUCCUCUGUGCCUCCCUCCAAGGCCUUGGGAGUCUCGUCCAACUCAAAUGCAGGUAUCAUGGAAAUAUAGGGAAGUUAUUGCCUCCAGGAAACUCCUUAACCAGUUUGAAAGUGUAAUAUUUUAUCUUCUUAUCUUUUGGCAUUAAAAUUCCAAGGAGCAUUCUAUACAGUACCUUAGAUAUUUCCCAGAGAGGUUGAACUCCAGUUGCUCAUGGCAAUACUCAUUUCGAUAAUGAUCCUGCUAUUGUUCAUUAUAUACCCCCAACCUCUCACUCUCGCUCUUGCUCCCUUAUUGCAGGUGAUCCCUCUGAUCACCUCCCAAAUAAACUACCUACAUCCCAAUCCUUGUCUCAGGAGUUGCUGUGGAUCAAAGCUAAAGCAUUUCAAAAUCUGAACUCUUUUUCUAAACAUCAUCUCUAGCCUUGAUCAACACGUUAUCAUUACUGCUUUGACAUUAGGAUAACCUUUGUUCUUGAACUAAGUCAUUGGUUGCUACUCUAUAUAAAACCACUUAAAAUGGUUGCAUGUCCAAAAUUUUCUAACCAGUACAUUAAAAAUAAUGGCGCUAAAUCUGUUCAAUGGUGUAGUAAAUGGAAAAAGCUAGCAGGGCAAGUGGACCAAGAAACUAUAUAAGCUGAGAUGAAACACUGCUUUUCUGCACUAAAUUUUACUUCUCCAGAGGCCUUAUUGGAGAGAGAGAAAACAUGUGACAUGUUUGCAGUAGGUCUACUUGUAUUACUGCUCAAAGAGUUUAUUGGUCCCAGCUGUUUGCUUAGAAACUGUCAAUUUUAGGUGAAAGGCUUACUUUAUUAUUUUCUUCUUCUUUUCCCUUAGAAAAAUAACAAGUGUUCAUUGGAAAAUGUAGAAUAUUUAGAAAAAUAUAAAGAAGGAAAUAAUCAUGCAUAAUGCCAUAUCCCAUUAGUGUUUACUAAAUUAGUGUUUUACUAAUGUCCUUUUAGUUUUGAGAAUCUGUAUGGAAGACAAUAGUGGAAGUAAAGCUAAGGAGAGAGAGGGAAGAGGUUAUAUUUUUGUGUUCUAUUUUUCUCCUUAUCAUUUUAUAAUGUCAUUAAGAAAAUCUUUUUACUAUCAUUUUAAGAUGCCACAAAUUAUUCUACUCUUAAGUUUUUCAAUUUUCCUUUAUUACAAUAACAAUGGGAUAAUAUCAUCUGACAAUAUUUUAUAUAUAAAACUGAUAUUUCUUUUAUAUAGGACCUUGUAAAUGGGAUAAAUGGGUAAAAGAGCAUGUGCAUGUACUGUGAUUUUGAUGCUUAUUGCCAAAUUUCUCUAUAUGUUUUAUGAUAUGUAUUUCCUUGUAGGGCUGGCUUCAUGAGUGUGUGAGCUAUGCAGUUUUAAAGGGAUCCAUGGUUAGAAGGAUCCCAUGUGUGGCUUAAUUCUCUUUGCAGAAAUUCACUUUUUAAUUUUUUAAAAAUUGAAGUAUAGUUGAUUUACAGUGUUUCAUGUGUACAGCAAAGCAAUUCAGUUAUAUAUAUGUAUAUACAUACACACACAUGUAUGCAUAUACAUAUGUAUAUACGCAUAUACAUAUAUGUACAUAUAUACGUAUACACAUAUGUAUGCAUAUACAUAUAUAUACAUAUGUAUGCAUAUACAUAUAUAUAUGUACGUAUAUACAUAUAUAUUCUUUUUUAGGUUCUUUUCCAUUAAAGAUUUUUACAAGAUAUUGAAUAUAGUUCCUUGUGCUAUAUAGUAGGUCCUUGUCAUUUAUCUAUUUUUAUAUAGAGUGUGUAUCUGAUAACCCCAAAUUUCCAUUUUUAUUUAUCCCCCUCUUUCCCCUUUGGUAAGUGUAAGUUUGUCUUCCAUGUUUAUAGUCUAUUUCUGUUUUGUAAAUAAGUUUGUGUCAUUUUUUAAUAUUCCAAAUAUGUGAUAUCAUAUGAGGUUUGUCUCACUUCUCUUAAUAUGAUAAUUUCUAGGUCCAUCCAUGUUGCUGCAAAUGGCAUUAUUUUAUUCUUUUUUCAUGCCUGGAUAAUAUUCUACCGUGUGUGUGUGUGUAUCACAUCUUCUUUAUCCACUCAUCUGUUGAUGGACAUUUAGAUUGCUUCCAUGUUUUGACUAUUGUAAAUAGUGCAGUUAUGCUCAAAUUCUUCAUGAUUUUUAAAUAAGAGACCUCCAUUUUCAUUUUGCACAAAUUAUGUAGCUGGUCCUGCAUCCACGAGAAAAUAAGAAGAAAACAAACAUCAUGUGAAAAGUAUUUCGUAAUGGGAGAGAGGGAGAAUUAUGUGACAGCAAAGAUUCAAAUGGAAAUCUUUUUUCCUAAUUUCUUUCUCUUUAGUCUCUCUCUGUUUAUCAUUGGGUAUUAUCUAUAUAGAUCCAGUCAGGUUUGUCGUUGUCUUUAUUGUUUGUGUGGUUUGUUUUUGUCUCAAACCCACGGACAAGAUUAAACUGUUUUAGUGAGGCUGACUCAAGAGCUUCAGAUAGUAUGAGUCUGAUGAGAAAAGAUGAAACCAUUUCUUCCUUUGGCUGUUUUUGUACUUACAUGGGACUAUGACACAUUUCAAAGAUCUGAGUAGGAAAUUGCUCCUGGGCUAAUGGUUAAUUUUAGUUUUGUGAGAUGGAAAAUAAUACCCACAUCUAUAAGUAUAACUUUGUCUUAAAGAUAGUGCUGGGGCUGGAGUUUUAUAACAAAAAACCCCAAUAAUAUAGUCUAAAGACAGGGCCCCAAAACAACUUGAGACAUAUCUAUGCGCCUAUUUCCCUGUGUAUCUGUAUCUUUCUCUUGUUAAUAUUUUUAACAUGUUAAUCAUUUUAGAUUAGAGUAGUAAGUUUCUUUAGCUUUAAGCAUGUUUUUUUUUUUCUGUUUUAUGAAAGAUAUUUUAAACUAUUUUCCUAAUUUUACUUUAGCCAGUUGUAUAUACCCUGAUUUUGGUAUGCUUUUGACUUUUAAUAGUUUAUGUGAAAGUACAAAUGAAUUAUAUUUUUUAUUCAGCCAUUCAGCUUGAUUGAUUAUCUUCAAUGAUUGUAUAUGUUUUUUUUAAAUAAGCUUUAUUUGAGUACAAUUGACUUAGGAAGUUGUUAGUUUCAGGUGUAUAGCAAAGUAAAUCAGUUAUGCAUAUACAUAUAUCUGAUUUUAGAUUCUUUUAGCAUUCUAUGACCUACAUCAUGGCAACAUGACAGAUCUUUUCCCACUGGCAUUUUAUAAUUCCUUUUCUUUUACAUAUACUGAAGUAUUUGUUGGGACUUUCAAUUUUAAGCUCUGGAACUCAAUUAUAAGCAUGAGCUAAAAAUUAGUAGCGCUGAGGCUCCUUGAAGAAUUUAUACUCAGCCCUAUGUGUUUAUGUCCAUCUUUUGCGAGAAUUAUGGUGUGUUCAUGUUUUGAAAACCCCACCAAAGAAGGGAUACUGGCAGAUAAAACAGAAUUUGUACCUCACUGUGCAAUCUACGACCAGUAUUAUUUCCUUUCUGGAGUCAUAUUGAGAUUAUAUAUGCUUUUUACUGUGGAUUCAAGUCUUACAACAUGAAAAAGUAUCAAAUAGUGAAGUUGCCCACUCUUCAAGUGGCAAUGAUUGUUUCAUGUAAAAUUGCUUAAAUGCAAAAUAAAUACAAAAUAAAAAAUGCUUUAAAAUAUAGCCCCAUAAUUGGCUUUGUUUGAAAAUUAACUUAAAAUUCAUGAAACGAAAAUAACUUUGAAAAAGGCCCAUAUUUAUCAACUUGACAACAUCACAUUAAGACAAAUAAAAUUUAAAAAGUACUGCUCUAUACUGAAAAAAUUUUUAGAAUAAUUGACAUAGAACUGUAGGCAGAUUGGCCGGUUCAUUGGAGAACUGCUAAUCAAACAAAUACAUAACUUGCUAAAAUAUAUUUAAAAUUAUUUAGAAAUUCAAAAGGGUAUGGAGACUCCCAAAUUCUGAAAAAUGGGAAAAGCUUUCUCAUCUUACCUUAGCAUUACAAUUAUACAAAGACUAGUGAUGGGGAAAAUUUAUUUUUAACUGACUUAACAUUUUGACCAUUUUUAUUUUAACCACCCCAUUUGCAGUCACUGAACAUGAGCACGAGGCUUAAAAUUGGAGAACAGUAGUGAUAAUGCAUAUUACCAUUUUCUAGAAUAUUAAAACUUGGCAUUCAUCUAGUUUAGUUUUUUUGCUAUUGCUGUUUGGGAUGAUGGGAUGAUGUAAUUCUCUAUUUCAAUCAUUUUCUGUCACCUCUUUGAAGCUGUUGUAGCUGUGGUUGGCUUGUCUAUCCUCCUUUCCUAUUUGUUUUUGCAGUUCUUCAUUGAGUAUUUAUGUAGUACAUUAUUUAGAGCAUGUCAUUUGGAGGGUAAUAUAUGGGUUAUUUUCCAAAUAUAGUCAAUUCAUAGGUGGAAAUGUUGAGCCCAGUUUGUACCAUUUUGUCCUCAUUUGGUAUAUUUUUCACUAUACCCAACAGCCUUGCUGUAGUUUUCAGAAAAAUUUAAAAAUAAUAUGUCACAUGGAGUUCCUGUCAUGGCACAGCGGAAACAAAUCCGACUAGGAAUCAUGAGGUU